rnacentral:misc_RNA from 1 species
UCCAGCUUAUCGCUGGCGGUCUCCUGCGAGUGCCGCCUUUCGGCAUGGUAACACAGGACAAGGGUUGCGCUCGUUGCGGGACUUAACCCAACAUCUCACGACACGAGCUGACGACAGCCAUGCAGCACCUGUGUUACGGCUCCCUUUCGGGCACACCCCCAUCUCUGAGGGCUUCCGUACAUGUCAAGGGUAGGUAAGGUUAUUCGCGUUGCAUCGAAUUAAUCCACAUCAUCCACCGCUUGUGCGGGUCCCCGUCAAUUCCUUUGAGUUUUAGCCUUGCGGCCGUACUCCCCAGGCGGGGUGCUUAAUGCGUUAACUGCGGCACGGGAGGAGUCGACACCUCCCACACCUAGCACCCAUCGUUUACGGCGUGGACUAA